UUCGCCCGUAACAUGGAACUCAUUCUCAAUCGACGACAAUUCACCUACCCCUACGACGUCCGGAGCUAAUGAAAAUUUCCGCCAAAAGUCUAUUCCCAAAUAUAGUUUUUGCCGCAGUGAGGGACAUAGGAGCAAUGAUAUGCGUUUCAGCCGCUUUACCAGGUCCAUACACCCGUCUCCUAGGAUGCUCUUCGAUGCUCCCGUGUCAAGUAGCCCCUGCAUUGGAUAAUUUGCAACCAAUACCUCGGCAAACGCUCGGUUUUCCGUCGUAGCUGCUGAUAUUAUAGCUGUGCAGACCUCUCUUCGUUCCUGUUUUCGGUGCUGGUAACGCCUCCGGGCUCGGAUUAUCCUCGACGACUUGCGGGAAUGGCUAUCUCCCCUUGGUUCUCCAAAUAUCCUUUCCCUUGCCUGCUGAUAGUCGCGUUCCCUCUCUUCCAUAGAUCCUCGGAGGCAGUUAAUUCGUCGUCUUGGGAUGGGAGCGGGACUCCUCCGGUUGCGUCAAGCUCCAUCUCGCGUUUGCCGCCUGACAUU